GACGAACGCUGGCGGCGUGCCUAAUACAUGCAAGUCGAGCGCAGGAAGUCAUCCGAACCCUUCGGGGGGACGGUGACGGAAUGAGCGGCGGACGGGUGAGUAACACGUAAAGAACCUGCCCUCAGGUCUGGGAUAACCACGAGAAAUCGGGGCUAAUACCGGAUGGGUCAUCGGACCGCAUGGUCCGAGGAUGAAAGGCGCUUCGGCGUCGCCUGGGGAUGGCUUUGCGGUGCAUUAGCUAGUUGGUGGGGUAACGGCCCACCAAGGCGACGAUGCAUAGCCGACCUGAGAGGGUGAUCGGCCACACUGGGACUGAGACACGGCCCAGACUCCUACGGGAGGCAGCAGUAGGGAAUCUUCCACAAUGGACGAAAGUCUGAUGGAGCAACGCCGCGUGAACGAUGAAGGCCCUCGGGUCGUAAAGUUCUGUUGUAAGGGAAGAACAAGUGCCGCAGGGCAAAUGGCGGCACCCUGACG
rnacentral:rRNA from 1 species